rnacentral:rRNA from 1 species
CGUGAGAUGUUCCGGUUAAGUCCGCUAACGAGCGCAACCCUCGCUGUGUGUUAUAUGUGUCACACGGGACUGCCGGUCUUAAGCCGGAGGAAGGUGGGGAUGAUGGUCAAAGUCAGCAUGGCCUUUAUAUCCUGGGCUACACACACGCUACAAUGGCCAACACAAUAGGUUGCUAAGCCGCGAGGUGGCGCCAAUCCAUAAAGUUGGUCUCAGUUCAGAUUGUAGGCUGCAACCCGCCUGCAUGAAGAUGGAGUUGCUAGUAACCGCAGGUCAGCUAUACUGCGGUGAAUACGUUCCCGGGGCUU